ACUGACACAGUUGAAAACAGCGAGCUUUUGGGCUCAAAAAGCUUAGACCAUCAUGGCUACGAAAACUACUGCUACUCAGAAAAUAUGUAAUUCUGGAACUCCUUAGUGAAAAAGUAGUGCAAGGCAACAUGAGAGACAGCAUGGAAUUGGAAGAGAAGCGGGGAUCUCCAUGAAGGGCAGUCUACUACAGUCUUGGUGUGUGGAGGAACAGGUUCCAUUCUCGCUGUUGUUACUCCCACAUAGGCGGACUCUGUAAUUGAUUGUGUGUGGGUAGGGCCCUAUUGAAAUUAAGGAGAUUCUGCAAUAGUGCAGGGUUCUUUUUGUGAAAGUUCAGUUGCAAGAUCAGGACUCUACUGUGACUCCUUACUGUGAAUUCUGUCAGUAUAUCAUUGAUUGUGCUGGAACCUGCCUUUUGGGAUAAUUACCAAAUAAUAUAUUCCUCAAAACUUCUUAAUGGCACUGAGGCUUUGUGGAUAGUUGGUCACAUGAUGAGAAAAUUCAGCUGCCCAUCAAGACUACUACUACCUGAUACCUCUCCUUCAGUAUCAAGAGGUUGACUCUGGUUUUGAUCAACAUAUGAUGCCAGCUUCCAUCAUUCGGUCAUUAAAUUUUCAGACCACACUGGAUAUUUUCUCCUCAGCUGCCUCUCAUGUAUUGGUUGACUUCUUCAUAAACAGAACUGUUCACUAUCUUCCUUUAAAUAUCUUUUAAAAAGUUUUAUGUAUUGUGAAGCUUAAAACAAUCAAACUAGACAACAGUUAUAUUGCAGGUAUAUUAAUGCCAACGCUUACCACAGUAGUACUGUGUCAUUGCAUUUUUACUCUGCCAUAAUUUCUCUGUUGUCUCUUUAUGUAGAAUUCAAGUACAUCUACUUUUUGUUGUGUGUUUAUUCAUGGCCCAGCAUAAUGAGAAGUGGUCCAGAGUGAGGGCUCCCAAGAUUUAUGGUAAUACAAAUAAAUAAUAAUAAAUACCCACUGGAUACUGCAGUGUAGCUGUUGGAUUCUGCUGUGCCUAAUGUCACAUCAUAUUUAAUGCAGAAAGAAGGUGCUCCAACUAGAGGCCUCACAAAAGGGAAAGAAGUGAGUUGCAGCCAACAGAUAAAAUGCUAGCCCCGGAGGCCUUCUCAA